rnacentral:rRNA from 1 species
CGCUGGCGGCGUGCCUAACACAUGCAAGUCGAACGGAUUUGAGGGGCUUGCUCCUCAAGUUAGUGGCGCACGGGUGAGUAACGCGUAGAUAAUCUGCCUGAUGAUCCGGGAUAACACUUCGAAAGAGGUGCUAAUACCGGAUAAGCCCACGGUAUCUUUGGAUUCUGCGGGAAAAGGGGGGGACCUUCGGGCCUUCUGUCAUCAGAUGAGUCUGCGUACCAUUAGCUAGUUGGUAGGGUAAUGGCCUACCAAGGCUACGAUGGUUAGCUGGUUUGAGAGAAUGAUCAGCCACACUGGAACUGAGACACGGUCCAGACUCCUACGGGAGGCAGCAGUGGGGAAUUUUGCGCAAUGGGCGAAAGCCUGACGCAGCAACGCCGCGUGAGUGAUGAAGGCUUUCGGGUCGUAAGCUCUGUCGAGGGGAAAGAAGUGUAUUGGGGCUAAUAUCCUUGAUACUUGACGGUACCCCUAAAGGAAGCACCGGCUAACUCCGUGCCAGCAGCCGCGGUAAUACGGGGGGUGCAAGCGUUGUUCGGAAUUAUUGGGCGUAAAGAGCGUGUAGGCGGUUUGUUAAGUCUGAUGUGAAAGCCCUGGGCUCAACCCAGGAAGUGCAUUGGAAACUGGCAGACUUGAAUACGGGAGAGGGCAGUGGAAUUCCUAGUGUAGGAGUGAAAUCCGUAGAUAUUAGGAGGAACACCGGUGGCGAAGGCGGCUGCCUGGACCGAUAUUGACGCUGAGACGCGAAAA